UACGUAGGUGGCAAGCGUUGUCCGGAUUUAUUGGGUUUAAAGGGUGCGUAGGCGGUCUAUUAAGUCAGUGCUGAAAUAUCCCGGCUUAACCGGGAGGGUGGCAUUGAUACUGAUGGACUUGAGUAAAGUUGAGGUUGGCGGAAUUGACGGUGUAGCGGUGAAAUGCUUAGAUAUCGUCAAGAACACCUAUUGCGAAGGCAGCUAACUAAGCUUUAACUGACGCUGAGGCACGAAAGUGUGGGGAUCAAACAGG
rnacentral:rRNA from 1 species